rnacentral:rRNA from 1 species
UCAAGUCUGCUGUUAAAGGCUGGAGCUUAACUCCGGUAGAGCAGUGGAAACUGGUGUGCUAGAGGGCGACAGGGGUAGAGGGAAUUCCCAGUGUAGCGGUGAAAUGCGUAGAGAUUGGGAAGAACACCGGUGGCGAAAGCGCUCUACUGGGUCGCACCUGACCCUCAGGGACGAAAGCUAAGGUAGCGAAAGGGAUUAGAUACCCCUGUAGUCUUAGCCGUAAACGAUGGAUACUAGGCGUGGUUUGUAUCGACCCAAGCCGUGCCGAAGCUAACGCGUUAAGUAUCCCGCCUGGGGAGUACGCACGCAAGUGUGAAACUCAAAGGAAUUGACGGGGGCCCGCACAAGCGGUGGAGGAUGUGGUUUAAUUCGAUGCAACGCGAAGAACCUUACCAGGGCUUGACAUCCCGCGAAUCCCCAUGAAAGUGGGGAGUGCCUUCGGGAGCGCGGAGACAGGUGGUGCAUGGCUGUCGUCAGCUCGUGUCGUGAGAUGUUGGGUUAAGUCCCGCAACGAGCGCAACCCUCGUCCUUAGUUGCCAGCAUUAAGUUGGGCACUCUAGGGAGACUGCCGGUGAUAAACCGGAGGAAGGUGAGGAUGACGUCAAGUCAGCAUGCCCCUUAUGCUCUGGGCAACACACGUCCUACAAUGGUCGGGACAAAGGGGAGCGAGCUCGCGAGAGUCAGCGAAUCCCAGCAAACUCGGCCUCAGUUCAGAUGGCAGGCUGCAA